rnacentral:rRNA from 1 species
UACGUAGGCAGCGAGCGUUGUUCGGAGUUACUGGGCGUAAAGCGUGCGUAGGCGGUGUCUUAAGUUUGUUGUGAAAUCUCCCGGCUUAACCGGGAGGGUGCGGCGAAUACUGAGAUGCUGGAGUGCCGGAGAGGUAAGGCGGAAUUCCUGGUGUAGCGGUGAAAUGCGUAGAUAUCAGGAGGAACACCUGCGGUGUAGACGGCUUACUGGACGGUAACUGACGCUGAGGCACGAAAGCGUGGGUAGCAAACAGG